UACGUAGGGGGCAAGCGUUGUCCGGAAUCAUUGGGCGUAAAGCGCGUGUAGGCGGCUCGAUAAGUCUGCUGUGAAAGUCCAAGGCUCAACCUUGGGAUGCCGGUGGAUACUGUCGAGCUCGAGUCCGGAAGAGGAGUGUGGAAUUCCUGGUGUAGCGGUGAAAUGCGCAGAUAUCAGGAGGAACACCGAUUGCGAAGGCAGCUCGCUGGGACGUAACUGACGCUGAGACGCGAAAGCGUGGGGAGCAAACAGG
rnacentral:rRNA from 1 species